UGCCAGCAGCCGCGGUAAUACGGAGGGUGCAAACGUUAAUCGGAAUUACUGGGCGUAAAGCGCGCGUAGGUGGUUCAUCAAGUGGGAUGUGAAAGCCCAGGGCUUAACCUUGGAAUUGCAUUCCAAACUGACGAACUAGAGUACGAUAGAGGGGGGUAGAAUUCAGAGUGUAGCGGUGAAAUGCGUAGAUAUUCUGAGGAAUACCAGUGGCGAAGGCGGCCCCCUGGAUUGAUACUGACACUGAGGCGCGAAAGCGUGGGGAGCAAACAGGAUUAGAUA
rnacentral:rRNA from 1 species